UACAGAGGGUGCGAGCGUUAAUCGGAAUUACUGGGCGUAAAGCGCGCGUAGGCGGCAUUGCAAGUCGGGUGUGAAAUCCCCAGGCUUAACCUGGGAACUGCAUUCGAGACUGCAUUGCUAGAGUAUGGGAGAGGGAAGUGGAAUUUCCGGUGUAGCGGUGAAAUGCGUAGAUAUCGGAAGGAACAUCAGUGGCGAAAGCGACUUCCUGGACCAAUACUGACGCUCAUGUGCGAAAGCGUGGGGAGCAAACAGG
rnacentral:rRNA from 1 species